rnacentral:rRNA from 1 species
GAUCAUGGCUCAGGACGAACGCUGGCGGCGUGCUUAACACAUGCAAGUCGAACGGACAGACAGAGAGCUUGCUCUCUAGAAGUUAGUGGCGAACGGGUGAGUAACGCGUAAUCAACCUGCCCUUCAGAGGGGGAUAACAACGGGAAACCGUUGCUAAUACCGCGUACGAUUCACGAGCGGCAUCGCUUGUGAAUGAAAGGUGGCCUCUAUUUAUAAGCUAUCGCUGAAGGAGGGGAUUGCG